rnacentral:rRNA from 2 species
AUACCAGCUCUCCGAGUGGUAGGGAUGAUUAUUGGGCUUAAAGCGUCCGUAGCCGGCUUAGCGAGUCUCCUGUUAAAUUCAGCGACUCAAUCGUUGACCCGCGGGAGAUACUACUAGGCUAGGAGGCGGGAGAGGUCGACGGUACUUCUGGGGUAGGGGUGAAAUCCUAUAAUCCCGGGAGGACCACCAGUGGCGAAGGCUGUCGACUAGAACGCGCUCGACGGUGAGGGACGAAAGCUGGGGGAGCGAACCGGAUUAGAUACCCGGGUAGUCCCAGCUGUAAACGAUGCGGGCUAGGUGUUGGGGUGGCUACGGGCCACUUCAGUGCCGCAGGGAAGCCAUUAAGCCCGCCGCCUGGGGAGUACGGCCGCAAGGCUGAA